rnacentral:rRNA from 1 species
CGGGCAGGGCAAUGCCUCAGUAGCGGCGAGUGAAGCGGCAAGAGCUCAGAUUUGAAAUCGUGCUUUGCGGCACGAGUUGUAGAUUGCAGGUUGGAGUCUGUGUGGAAGGCGGUGUCCAAGUCCCUUGGAACAGGGCGCCCAGGAGGGUGAGAGCCCCGUGGGAUGCCGGCGGAAGCAGUGAGGCCCUUCUGACGAGUCGAGUUGUUUGGGAAU